rnacentral:rRNA from 1 species
GACGAACUGUCCUAACGUUGUUCGGAAUUACUGGGCGUAAAGGGCUCGUAGGCGGCCCACUAAGUCCGACGUGAAAUCCCCAGGCUUAACUUGGGAACUGCGUCGGAUACUGGUGGGCUUGAAUCCGGGAGAGGGAUGCGGAAUUCCAGGUGUAGCGGUGAAAUGCGUAGAUAUCUGGAGGAACACCGGUGGCGAAGGCGGCAUCCUGGACCGGCAUUGACGCUGAGUGAGCGAAAGCCAGGGGAGCAAACGGG